AUUCUAGCUCUUUAUGACCAUCUUAAUCGAACUGCUCUGGAACGGGCGGCUAUAAAAAGUGACAGCCUUGUAGAUUAAAAGAUGAAUCAUAACGGGAUUUGCAUACCCAAGUACUGCAGAGCACGUGAAAUUUUGCAGGAAUCUGCCCCGACCAUGGGGUAAGGCUAAAUACUAACUGAUGACCGAUAGUGAACGAGUACCGUGAGGGAAAGGUGAAAAGAACCCCGGGAGGGGAGUGAAAUAGAAUCUGAAAUCAUGUGUCUAUAACCGGUGGAAGCGAUAUAUAAGUAUGCGCGACCACGUACCUUUUGCAUAAUGGGCCAACGAGUUACUCCUACGUUGCAAGGUUAAGCUUUGAAAGAGCGGAGCCGUAGCGAAAGCAAGUCUGAAUAGGGCGAUUAGUAGCGUGGGGUAGACCCGAAACCUAGUGAGCUAUCCAUGAGCAGGAUGAAAUCUUGGUAACACAAGAUGGAGGUCCGAACCGGUGUGGGUUGAAAACUGCUCGGAUGACUUGUGGAUAGGGGUGAAAGGCCAAUCAAACUGGGAAAUAGCUGGUUCUCCUCGAAAUAUAUUUAGGUAUAGCCUUGUGGAAUUAUACAUGGCGGUAAAGCACAGUUUGAGCUAGGGGGCUUCGGCUUACCAAACUCUUACUAACUCUGAAUGCCGUGUAUUUAGAACACAGGAGUCAGCCUGCGGGGGAUAAGCUCCGUGGGCGAGAGGGAAAGAGCCCAGACCAUCAGUUAAGGUCCCUAAGUAUUCGCUAAGUGGGAAAAGAAGUGGGAAUACACAGACAGCCAGGAGGUUGGCUUAGAAGCAGCCAUCCUUUAAAGAAAGCGUAACAGCUCACUGGUCAAGUGUUUCCGCGCUGAAGAAUGAACGGGGCUUAAGCGAAUCACCGAAGCUAUGGCAUACACUCUAUGAGUGAUAUGGGUAGAGGAGCGUUCUUUGAUAGAUACAUGCUUGACCGUGAGGACAAGUUCAGGAUCAAAGAAGUGAGAAUGUUGGCAUAAGUAACGAAAAAAUAGGUGAAAUUCCUGUUCGCCGUAAGUCUAAGGUUUCCGUGAGAUCGGUUUAUCCACUCAGGGUUAGUCGACACCUAAGCCGAGGCCAAUUGGAGUAGGCGAUGGACAGCAGGCUAAAUAUUCCUGCACCACUUUUAGUGUUUGAGCGAUGGGGUGACGCAGUAAGAUAAGUUGACUUGGACUAUGGUGUGCCAAGCUAACCACUUAGAGGGAGUUUGUAGGUAAAUCCACAAACUCAUUACCUUGAAGUGUUAUGGUUAUAUCAAUCGAUCAGAGAGAUAUAUUCAGCUGAUUCUACACUGACUAGAAAAACCUCUAGUGAACUAAAAAGUGACCGUACCGUAAACCGACACAGGUAGGUAGGUUGAGAAAACUAAGGCG
rnacentral:rRNA from 1 species